rnacentral:rRNA from 1 species
AACGCACCUUGCGCUCCUUGGUAUUCCGAGGAGCAUGCCUGUUUGAGUGUCAUUAAAUUCUCAACCUUUAUCAGCUUUUGUUGAUAAUUGGCUUGGAUAUGGGGGUUUAUUUUUGCCGGCUUCUUCACAGAUGGUCAGCUCCCCUUAAAUGCAUUAGCUGGUGCCCUGCGUGGACUGUUUAUUGGUGUGAUAAUUAUCUACGCCGUGGACGUCUGCAAUCAUAUGGGUUUGCACUGCUUCUAACCGUCUGUUCACUCAGACAAUACAUGACAAUUUGACCUCAAAUCAGGUAGGACUACCCGCUGAACUUAA